rnacentral:rRNA from 1 species
GACAGAGGCCUCGAGCGUUAGACGGAAUCACUGGGCUUAAAGCGUGUGUAGGCGGAAGGGUAAGUACCUUGUGAAAUCCCACGGCUCAACCGUGGAACUGCUUGGUAUACUGCUUUUCUUGAGCAAUCCAGGGGCGGGUGGAACAGAUGGUGGAGCGGUGAAAUGCGUAGAUAUCAUCUGGAACGCCAAUGGUGAAGACAAACCCGCUGGGGAGUUUGUCUGACGCUGAGACACGAAAA